GACGAACGCUGGCGGCGUGCUUAACACAUGCAAGUCGAACGGAAAGGCGCUGCUUUUGUGGGGUGCUCGAGUGGCGAACGGGUGAGUAACACGUGAGUAACCUGCCCUUGACUUUGGGAUAACUUCAGGAAACUGGGGCUAAUACCGGAUAGGAGCUCCUGCUGCAUGGGGGGGGUUGGAAAGUUUCGGCGGUUGGGGAUGGACUCGCGGCUUAUCAGCUUGUUGGUGGGGUAGUGGCUUACCAAGGCUUUGACGGGUAGCCGGCCUGGGAGGGUGACCGGCCACAUUGGGACUGAGAUACGGCGCAGACUCCUACGGGAGGCAGCAGUGGGGAAUAUUGCACAAUGGGCGGAAGCCUGAUGCAGCAACGCCGCGUGCGGGAUGACGUCCUUCGGGUUGUAAACCGCUUUCGCCUGUGACGAAGCGUGAGUGACGGUAAUGGGUAAAGAAGCACCGGCUAACUACGUG
rnacentral:rRNA from 1 species